GUCUACUGCCAUGCUACUCUGAACAAGCCUGAUUCUGUCUGAUCUUGGAAGCUAAGCAAGGUUGGGCCUGGUUAGUACUUGGAUGGGAGACCACUAGGAAGACCAGGUGCUAUAGGCA
rnacentral:rRNA from 1 species